rnacentral:rRNA from 1 species
UGGAAACUNUCUGACUUGAGUGCAGAAGGGGAGAGUGGAAUUCCAUGUGUAGCGGUGAAAUGCGUAGAUAUAUGGAGGNACACCAGUGGCGAAAGCGGCUCUCUGGUCUGUCACUGACGCUGAGGCUCGAAAGCGUGGGUAGCGAACAGGAUUAGAUACCCUGGUAGUNCACGCCGUAAACGAUGAGUGCUAGGUGUUAGGCCCUUUCCGGGGCUUAGUGCCGGAGCUAACGCAAUAAGCACUCCGCCUGGGGAGUACGACCGCAAGGUUGAAACUCAAAGGAAUUGACGGGGGCCCGCACAAGCGGUGGAGCAUGUGGUUUAAUUCGAAGCAACGCGAAGAACCUUACCAGGUCUUGACAUCCCGAUGCUAUUCUUAGAGAUAGGAAGUUACUUCGGUACAUCGGAGACAGGUGGUGCAUGGUUGUCGUCAGCUCGUGUCGUGAGAUGUUGGGUUAAGUCCCGCAACGAGCGCAACCCUUAUUGUUAGUUGCCAUCAUUAAGUUGGGCACUCUAGCGAGACUGCCGGUAAUAAACCGGAGGAAGGUGGGGAUGACGUCAAAUCAUCAUGCCCCUUAUGACCUGGGCUACACACGUGCUACAAUGGUCGGUACAACGAGUUGCGAGCCGGUGACGGCAAGCUAAUCUCUGAAAGCCGAUCUCAGUUCGGAUUGGAGGCUGCAACUCGCCUCCAUGAAGUCGGAAUCGCUAGUAAUCGCGGAUCAGCACGCCGCGGUGAAUACGUUCCCGGGCCUUGUACACACCGCCCGUCACACCACGAGAGUUUGUAACACCCGAAGUCGGUGAGGUANCCUUUUAGGG